rnacentral:rRNA from 1 species
AAUCUGACCUGAUGGUCGGCGCAAGGGUGCGUAACGCGUAAGUAACUUGCCCCAAGGUAAGGAAUAACGUCGAGAAAUCGGCGCUAAUACCUCAUAAUGCAGCGGAUCCGCAUGGAUAUGUUGUUAAAGGUUUACCGCCUUGGGAUAGGCUUGCGUCUGAUUAGCUAGUUGGUGUGGUAAUGGCACACCAAGGCUACGAUCAGUAACUGGUCUGAGAGGAUGAUCAGUCACACUGGAACUGAGACACGGUCCAGACUCCUACGGGAGGCAGCAGUGAGGAAUAUUGGGCAAUGCACGAAAGUGUGACCCAGCAACGCCGCGUGGAGGAUGAAGGUAUUCUAUAUCGUAAACUCCUGUGAGAGCAGACGAAAGACAGAUUAUUAAUUUGGAUGACUGUAUGCUCAGAGGAAGCCCCGGCUAACUACGUG